rnacentral:misc_RNA from 1 species
UUUCCGUAGGUGAACCUGCGGAAGGAUCAUUAUUGUAUAACCGAGGUUCGAGGUCUGGCGCUGACCCGAAUGGUUGUGCACGCCCGAUUUCUCUCACACUCAUCCAUUUCACGCCUAUGUGCACCACCGCGCGGUUCUCCCUUUGGCUUGUCUUGAGGCGGGCUAACGUUAUGACACAAUUUUUGUUUUCAACGUUGAAUGUAUUUUUUGUUUUUGCUUUCACGACGUCACUAUAACUUUCAACAACGGAUCACUACGCUCCCGCAUCGAUGAAGAACC